AUGGGUGAAAUGGAGUGUUUCGGCCCGGCGGCCAUUUACCUCCGGAAAACAGAAAGAGAGAGAGAAUCGAGGCUCAGAACACCCCCUUUGAUGCCAAAACAGCGUUCUUUGUGGUAGAUGCAGAUGAGAUGUACCUGAAGGGGUACUCUUGUUAGUAAAGAGGGUGGCAAAGCUACUGUCAAAACUCACAGUGGGAAAACUGUCACGGUAAAACAAGAUGAAAUCUUCCCCAUUGAAUCCUCCCAAGUUUGACAAAAUUGAGGACAUGGCCAUGAUGACCCACCUCAAUGAACCUUGUGUGCUGUAUAACCUCAAAGAGCGUUACGCAGCAUGGAUGAUCUAUACCUACUCUGGCUUGUUCUGCGUCACUGUCAAUCCAUACAAGUGGCUCCCAGUGUACGACGCAGUUGUUGUGGCUGGAUACAGAGGCAAAAAGAGGAUUGAAGCCCCACCUCACAUCUUCUCGAUCUCUGACAAUGGCCUACCAGUUCAUGCUCACUGAUCGUGAGAACCAGUCUGUCCUGAUUACUGGAGAAUCUGGUGCAGGAAAGACUGUGAACACAAAACGUGUCAUUCAGUACUUUGCAACUGUUGGUGCGAUGUCUGGACCGAAGAAGCCAGAGCCAGUCCCUGGAAAAAUGCAGGGAUCACUGGAGGACCAAAUCGUGGCAGCCAACCCUCUGCUGGAAGCUUAUGGUAAUGCCAAGACUGUGAGGAACGACAACUCCUCUCGUUUUGGUAAAUUCAUCAGGAUUCACUUUGGCACCACUGGAAAACUGGCCUCAGCUGAUAUUGAAACUUAUCUGCUGGAAAAGUCCAGAGUAACAUUCCAGCUGUCUGCUGAGAGGAGUUACCACAUCUUCUACCAGCUCAUGACUGGACACAAGCCAGAGCUGCUCGAGGCCCUGCUCAUCACCACCAACCCUUAUGACUAUCCAAUGAUCAGCCAGGGUGAAAUCACUGUCAAGAGUAUCAAUGAUGUGGAAGAGUUCAUUGCCACAGAUACUGCCAUUGACAUUCUGGGCUUCACUGCUGAUGAGAAAAUCAGCAUCUACAAGCUGACAGGUGCUGUGAUGCAUCAUGGAAACAUGAAGUUCAAACAGAAGCAGAGAGAGGAGCAGGCUGAACCUGACGGCACUGAGGUGGCUGAUAAAAUCGCUUACCUCUUGGGCCUUAAUUCUGCUGACAUGCUGAAAGCUCUGUGCUUCCCCAGAGUGAAGGUCGGGAAUGAGAUGGUGACCAAAGGCCAGACAGUACCACAGGUGAACAACGCAGUCUCAGCUCUCUGCAAGUCUAUCUAUGAGAAAAUGUUUUUGUGGAUGGUCGUCCGUAUCAAUGAGAUGUUGGACACCAAGCAGCCUAGACAGUUCUUCAUUGGUGUGCUGGACAUCGCUGGAUUUGAGAUCUUUGAUUUCAACAGCUUGGAGCAGCUUUGCAUCAACUUCACAAAUGAGAAACUGCAACAGUUCUUCAACCACCACAUGUUUGUUCUGGAGCAAGAGGAGUACAAGAAAGAAGGCAUUGAAUGGGAGUUCAUUGACUUUGGUAUGGACUUGGCUGCCUGCAUUGAGCUCAUUGAGAAGCCAAUGGGUAUCUUCUCCAUCCUUGAAGAGGAGUGCAUGUUCCCAAAGGCAACAGACACAAGCUUCAAAAACAAGCUGCAUGACCAGCAUCUGGGAAAAUGUGCAGCUUUCCAGAAGCCCAAGCCUGCCAAAGGUAAGGCAGAGGCCCACUUCUCUCUGGUGCACUACGCCGGCACUGUGGACUACAACAUUGUUGGCUGGUUGGACAAGAACAAGGAUCCAUUGAAUGACUCUGUCGUGCAACUCUACCAAAAGUCAUCGCUCAAAGUGCUGGCCUUCCUGUAUGCCGCUCAUGGAGCUGCUGAAGCUGAGGGCGGCGGUGGAAAGAAAGGCAAGAAGAAGGGUGGUUCCUUCCAGACUGUGUCUGCACUUUUUAGGGAGAACUUGGGUAAGCUGAUGACUAACCUAAGGAGCACUCACCCUCACUUUGUGCGCUGCUUGAUUCCUAAUGAAUCCAAGACUCCAGGUCUGAUGGAGAACUUCCUGGUUAUCCACCAGCUCAGGUGUAAUGGUGUUCUGGAGGGUAUCAGAAUCUGCAGGAAGGGUUUCCCCAGCAGAAUCCUCUAUGGUGACUUCAAGCAGAGGUACAAAGUAUUAAAUGCUAGUGUCAUCCCUGAGGGACAGUUCAUUGACAACAAAAAGGCUUCAGAGAAACUCUUGGGCUCUAUUGAUGUUGACCACACCCAAUACAAGUUUGGACACACCAAGGUGUUCUUCAAAGCUGGUCUGUUGGGUACUCUUGAGGAGAUGAGAGAUGAGAAACUAGCAAGUCUGGUUACCAUGACUCAGGCAUUGUGCCGUGGAUACGUCAUGAGGAAGGAGUUUGUCAAAAUGAUGGAGAGGAGAGAAUCAAUUUAUUCCAUCCAAUACAACAUCCGUUCAUUCAUGAAUGUCAAACAUUGGCCAUGGAUGAAGCUCUACUUCAAGAUCAAGCCUCUUUUGAAGAGUGCAGAAACUGAGAAAGAAAUGGCAGCCAUGAAGGAGAACUAUGAAAAAAUGAAGGAGGAUUUGACAAAGGCAUUAGCUAAAAAGAAGGAGCUUGAGGAGAAAAUGGUGUCACUUAUUCAAGAGAAAAACGACCUUCAGCUGCAAGUAACAGCUGAAUCUGAAAACCUCUCUGAUGCUGAAGAGAGAUGUGAAGGGCUCAUCAAAAGCAAGAUCCAGCUCGAAGCCAAACUCAAAGAGACAAACGAGAGACUGGAGGAUGAAGAGGAAAUCAAUGCUGAACUGACUGCCAAGAAGAGGAAACUGGAGGAUGAAUGCUCCGAGCUGAAGAAAGACAUUGAUGACCUGGAGCUAACCUUGGCAAAAGUGGAGAAGGAGAAGCAUGCAACAGAAAAUAAAGUGAAAAACCUGACAGAGGAGAUGGCCUCUCAGGAUGAGAGCAUCGCCAAGUUGACCAAAGAGAAGAAAGCCCUCCAAGAGGCACACCAGCAGACUCUUGAUGACCUUCAGGCAGAGGAAGACAAAGUCAACACUCUGACUAAAGCAAAGACAAAGCUUGAGCAGCAAGUUGAUGAUCUUGAGGGCUCACUGGAGCAAGAGAAGAAACUCCGUAUGGACCUUGAGAGAGCCAAGAGAAAGCUUGAGGGUGAUCUGAAACUGGCCCAGGAGUCCAUAAUGGACCUGGAGAAUGACAAACAGCAAUCAGAUGAGAAGAUAAAAAAGAAGGACUUUGAGAUAAGUCAACUUCUCAGCAAGAUUGAGGAUGAACAGUCUUUGGGAGCACAGCUUCAGAAGAAAAUCAAAGAACUUCAGGCCCGUAUCGAGGAGCUGGAAGAGGAAAUUGAGGCAGAGCGAGCUGCUCGUGCUAAAGUGGAGAAGCAGAGAGCUGAUCUCUCCAGGGAACUUGAAGAGAUCAGCGAGAGGCUUGAGGAAGCUGGUGGUGCCACUGCUGCCCAGAUUGAGAUGAACAAGAAGCGUGAAGCAGAAUUCCAGAAGUUGCGUCGUGAUCUGGAAGAGUCUACCUUGCAGCAUGAAGCUACAGCUGCAGCUCUCCGAAAGAAGCAAGCAGACAGUGUGGCUGAACUCGGAGAACAGAUCGACAACCUCCAGCGGGUCAAGCAGAAGCUGGAGAAGGAGAAGAGUGAAUACAAGAUGGAGAUUGAUGACUUGACAAGCAACAUGGAGGCUGUGGCUAAAGCAAAGGUAAUGUCAUUAGAGAAUCAUUAAAUAUAAACGCAUCUUUACAAACAUCUGGAUAUAACCCUGUACAUUUUGGCUAAUUUAGAGAAGAUGUGCCGUACCCUGGAAGACCAGCUGAGUGAAAUCAAGACCAAGAGUGAUGAAAAUGUUCGUCAGCUGAAUGACAUGAAUGCACAACGUGCAAGACUUCAGACUGAAAAUGGUGAAUUUAGCCGCCAACUGGAAGAGAAAGAAGCACUUGUUUCACAGCUAACUAGAGGAAAACAGGCUUAUACACAGCAAAUUGAGGAACUCAAAAGGCAUAUUGAGGAAGAAGUAAAGGCCAAGAAUGCUCUGGCCCAUGCGGUUCAGUCUGCCCGUCAUGACUGUGACUUGCUCAGAGAGCAGUAUGAGGAGGAGCAGGAGGCCAAAGCUGAACUCCAGCGUGGAAUGUCUAAGGCCAACAGUGAGGUGGCUCAGUGGAGAACCAAAUAUGAGACUGAUGCCAUCCAACGCACUGAAGAGCUUGAGGAAGCCAAGAAAAAGCUUGCCCAGCGUCUGCAGGAUGCUGAAGAAUCCAUUGAAGCGGUAAACUCCAAGUGUGCCUCUCUGGAAAAGACCAAACAGAGACUUCAGGGUGAAGUAGAGGACCUCAUGAUUGAUGUGGAGAGGGCAAAUUCAUUGGCUGCCAACCUUGACAAGAAGCAGAGAAACUUUGACAAGGUCCUAGCAGAGUGGAAACAGAAGUAUGAGGAAAGCCAGGCUGAACUAGAAGGUGCUCAGAAAGAAGCUCGUUCUCUCAGCACUGAGCUGUUCAAAAUGAAGAACUCCUAUGAAGAAGCUCUUGACCACCUCGAGACCCUGAAGAGGGAGAACAAGAAUCUGCAACAGGAGAUUUCUGACCUCACUGAGCAGCUUGGAGAGACUGGAAAGAGCAUUCAUGAGUUAGAGAAAGCCAAGAAGACAGUGGAGUCUGAGAAAUCAGAGAUCCAGACUGCACUUGAAGAGGCAGAGGGCACCCUGGAGCAUGAAGAGUCCAAGAUUCUUCGUGUGCAGCUGGAGCUAAACCAGGUGAAGAGCGAGAUUGACAGGAAGCUGGCGGAGAAGGACGAGGAGAUGGAACAGAUCAAGAGGAACAGCCAAAGAGUGAUCGAUUCCAUGCAGAGCACUCUGGACUCUGAGGUCAGGAGCAGAAAUGAUGCCCUGAGAGUCAAAAAGAAGAUGGAGGGAGAUCUGAAUGAGAUGGAGAUCCAGCUGAGUCAUGCCAACCGCCAGGCUGCUGAGGCCCAGAAACAGCUCAGGAAUGUUCAAGGCCAACUCAAGGAUGCCCAACUGCACCUUGAUGAAGCUGUCAGAGGACAGGAGGACAUGAAGGAGCAGGUGGCCAUGGUGGAGCGCAGGAAUAACCUGAUGCAAGCAGAGAUUGAGGAGCUGAGAGCUGCACUGGAGCAAACAGAGAGAGGCCGCAAAGUGGCGGAGCAGGAGCUGGUGGAUGCCAGCGAGCGUGUGGGACUGCUGCACUCACAAAAUACAAGUCUUAUUAACACCAAGAAGAAGCUUGAGGCUGAUCUGGUCCAGGUUCAAGGUGAGGUGGACGAUGCAGUCCAGGAGGCCAGAAAUGCAGAGGAGAAGGCCAAGAAGGCCAUCACUGAUGCUGCUAUGAUGGCUGAGGAGCUGAAGAAGGAGCAGGACACCAGUGCUCAUCUGGAGAGGAUGAAGAAGAACCUGGAGGUGACUGUCAAAGACCUGCAGCACCGUCUGGAUGAGGCUGAGAGUCUGGCCAUGAAGGGUGGAAAGAAACAGCUCCAGAAACUGGAGUCCAGGGUGCGUGAAUUGGAGGCUGAAGUUGAAGCUGAACAGAGACGUGGUGCAGAUGCUGUGAAAGGAGUGCGCAAAUAUGAAAGGAGAGCGAAGGAGCUCACCUACCAGACUGAGGAAGACAAGAAGAACGUGACCCGACUGCAGGAUCUGGUAGACAAACUGCAGCUGAAAGUGAAGGCCUACAAGCGCCAGGCUGAAGAAGCUGAGGAGCAGGCCAACACUCACCUGUCCAGGUACAGGAAGGUGCAGCAUGAGCUGGAGGAGGCUCAGGAGCGUGCUGACAUCGCUGAGUCCCAGGUCAACAAGCUGAGAGCCAAGAGCCGUGAAGCUGGGAAGACUAAAGAUGAAGAAUGAAGACAAGAAAGUACACCUACAAGCAAGCAUAUAAUAUGACUGUCUUGUGCUGUUUUCCUGUGUCCAUUAAAAAGGCAUAAUUUUA